ensembl:lncRNA
CAGCCACUCAUCCUUACAGAUUCUUUAACUCAGGUCUGGCUUUUUCUCUGAGAACUUCACAAAAUCAAUUCCUAAAAUUUGAAAGCAAAAUGUCCCUGUGUGCUGAGCUGGCAGCAUGCAUGCAGAGGAACUCUCCCAAGAGACUUUACCACAGCCGUUUCAUACUCCUAGUGAGGUCUGCUCUGAGAACAGUGCAGUAAUUUAAGCUGUCUUCAGUAACAUGAGUUACAGAAAAAUGCAGAUAAGGACUUAUGAUGCCGCCCUCCGAAUGGAGAGUUAGGGCAGAGGAGAAGCCAUUUAGACCCAAAAAUCUAUAUAUCUAAGUGCCUGUGUGUGGGCAGGGUUAUCUUCGACCUUCAUGGCCAACAGAGUGAUAAGCCAGGCAACGGGAGGCAAAAAGCCAGCUUGGCUCAACACUACUCAGUAGCUGGUGUUGGUUCAAACUUCAGGAAUCUGACCCUGAGUUGUUUGUUUUAGGCAUAUUUAAGCAUAGUACAAUUUGGUGAAAACUACUCUGGUAAUAAUUAACUCAAUCCCGUGUGCACAACCAAGCAUACAUAAGUAAAUCUCCUUGGGAAAUAAAUUAAUCUAAAUGCAUUCAGAUGUGACUAUGUCAAAACUCUUUGUAAAGUCCAUAAAGAUAGGUUCUAUAGAUUAACUGAAAAAAACAAAUUUAUGAUAAGGUCUGCAGAGGAUCUAGUGCCAGAAAAGUCUUUAGCAGAUAGCACAAUGGUCAUGGCUGCUCCAGCCUCUGGGAAGAUAACAUGUUUUUCAUUCCUUCCCAUGAAGGAACAACCUUGUGUGCUUACCAUUCCAGGUUCCCCUAGCACAUGCCUGAAAGCACAAAGACUUCCAUCCAUCCAUGCCCCCCUCUUUAAGUAAAACCCCAGACCUAUACAUUUAGGAAGUGAGUCUGAACUUAUUUCUUCUUGAAAUUAAAAGAGAAUACUGAGCAUGGUGUCUUGUGUAUAAGCAGGCAGACUGCCCCAAGCCUGAUGCCAGCCUGGGCUACACAGUGAGUAGUGAUCAAACCAGAGCUACACAGCAAGAUGCUGACUCAAAAUAACAAAUAAUGCUCAGGAAACUAAAGACUGGAACAUUAUCCCCCGGAUUUUUCAUGCUUUUGGAACCGUGUAUGAACAUCCUGACAGGCUUUGAGGAAAUGCAACAAAAAGCAGCUGGCUCAGGGAAUUGAAUCAAGGCGGGAUGUUCAAAGGGAGUUAGAAUGUCAUUCAUACCUGGAAAACCAGUCAGAUGGCAAAGGGGAGACCAUGAAAGAUGCCAGUCCCUAAGGAAGCUUCUCCUGGGUCUCACUGAAGUCACAAGCCUCAAACAAUAGAGUUCUCUACAGAGGAAGCAGGGGAUAGGUCCAGGGACCUACCUGGAAGCUGGAUUUCAUGACAGAUCACCCUGAACUCUCUCAUGUAUGAUGUACUUCCGUUUCUCAGACGGCAGACGCUGACAGAUUUGUACAGGAAUGAGAAGCCAUGAGCUCCUCAGGGAGACUUUAUAGCUCCCAGAUAAGGGAUUGCUCUGCUUUGACUGACAAAAGGCCCCCAGCCUCUGGGGGAAAGAGUCAAGCCUGCAGAGUGCCCUGGAGGGCUGAAG